AUGAACGCUGGCGGCGUGCCUCAUACCUGCAAGUCGAGCGAACAGACGAGGAGCUUACUCCUCUGACGUUAGCGGCGGACGGGUGAGUAACACGUGGAUAACCUACCUAUAAGACUGGGAUAACUUCGGGAAACCGGAGCUAAUACCGGAUAACAUGUUGAACCGCAUGGUUCAACAGUGAAAGACGGUCUUGCUGUCACUUAUAGAUGGAUCCGCGUCGCAUUAGCUAGUUGGUAAGGUAACGGCUUACCAAGGCAACGAUGCGUAGCCGACCUGAGAGGGUGAUCGGCCACACGGGAACUGAGACACGGUCCAGACUCCUACGGGAGGCAGCAGUAGGGAAUCUUCCGCAAUGGGCGAAAGCCUGACGGAGCAACGCCGCGUGAGUGAAGAAGGUCUUCGGAUCGUAAAACUCUGUUAUUAGGGAAGAACAAAUGUGUAAGUAACUAUGCACGUCUUGACGGUACCUAAUCAGAAAGCCACGGCUAACUACGUG
rnacentral:rRNA from 1 species